UGGGGAAUUUUGGACAAUGGGCGCAAGCCUGAUCCAGCCAUGCCGCGUGCGGGAAGAAGGCCUUCGGGUUGUAAACCGCUUUUGUCAGGGAAGAAAUCUUCUGAGUUAAUACCUCGGGAGGAUGACGGUACCUGAAGAAUAAGCACCGGCUAACUACGUGCCAGCAGCCGCGGUAAUACGUAGGGUGCAAGCGUUAAUCGGAAUUACUGGGCGUAAAGCGUGCGCAGGCGGUUUUGUAAGACAGAGGUGAAAUCCCCGGGCUCAACCUGGGAACUGCCUUUGUGACUGCAAGGCUUGAGUGCGGCAGAGGGGGAUGGAAUUCCGCGUGUAGCAGUGAAAUGCGUAGAUAUGCGGAGGAAACACCGAUGGCGAAGGCAAUCCCCUGGGCCUGCAACUGACGCUCAUGCACGAAAAGCGUGGGGAGCAAAACAGGAUUAGAUACCCCUGGUAGUCCACGCCCUAAAACGAUGUCAAACUGGUUGUUGGGAAGGUUCCUUCUCAGUAACGUAGCUAACGCGUGAAAGUUGACCGCCUGGGGAGUACGGCCGC
rnacentral:rRNA from 1 species